GGAGUUUUAAGUUAAGAAAACUUGAGACCUUCAAAGUCUUUAAUAGAAGAAGAUCUUCUAAACUCUU
rnacentral:tRNA from 1 species